rnacentral:rRNA from 1 species
GAUGAACGCUAGCGAUAGGCCUAACACAUGCAAGUCGAGGGGCAUCACAUGAGGCAGCAAUGCCGAUGGUGGCGACCGGCGCACGGGUGAGUAACACGUAUGCAACCUGCCUUCAACAAGGGGAUAACCCGUUGAAAAACGGACUAAUACCCUAUAAUACAGGGGUCCCGCAUGGGGAUAUUUGUUAAAGAUUGAUCGGUUGAAGAUGGGCAUGCGUUCCAUUAGCUGGUUGGUGAGGUAACGGCUCACCAAGGCAACGAUGGAUAGGGGAACUGAGAGGUUUAUCCCCCACACUGGUACUGAGACACGGACCAGACUCCUACGGGAGGCAGCAGUGAGGAAUAUUGGUCAAUGGACGCAAGUCUGAACCAGCCACGUCGCGUGAAGGAAGACGGCCCUACGGGUUGUAAACUUCUUUUGUAAGGGAAUAAAGUGUAGUACGCGUACUAUUUUGCAUGUACCUUACGAAUAAGGAUCGGCUAACUCCGUGCCAGCAGCCGCGGUAAAU